GGGUGUUAGCUCAGUUGGUAGAGCAACUGACUCUUAAUCAGUGGGUCUAGGGUUCGAAUCCCU
rnacentral:tRNA from 1 species